GAGGCGCCUCGUCCUGGGGACCUCUUUCCACUCUUUACUCUCAAGAUAGGAGGAUGGGGCCGAGGGAUUCUUUUUGGUUUUCUGGUUUUGUUUUGCUCUGGUUUGGUCGGUUUUGUAUUUUUUCUAUUUUUCCUUUUUCUACCUUUUUUGCUUUUUUGCCAUUUCUUUCCGGUUAUUCUCCCAGCCAAAAGCUGCCUUCGACCCUUUUGAUUUGAUGUAGAAAAGAGUGUGUGUCCAGAUUAUCUGAAAUUGACACUGAAGAAGUCCCCAAACAAGCUACACAGAGGGUCGGGCAAAACGGCCCGGGCUCCGGAGAUGGGCGGCCGGGCAGGACCCGCGCCGCGCGGACCUGGUGGCUCUGCAGAGGCCGCAGAAGGAGGACAGCGGACAGACGAGGACUUGACUUUAUCAGCUCAAGGACAGAGCAAAAGGAGACAGGAGACGGACAACAGAAAAGAGCUCUUGCUUUUUCUACAUUGUUUUGUAGGGUGGUUUUUUUUUUUUCUUUUUCUUUUUCUUUUUCCUGAUAGUCCCGCAAAGCUGAGGGUCGGCGGGUCGGGUCGAGCGGGUGUGUGCUGCUGCUCUCGCUUGUCUCAGGUGGCUGU